CCACCCUCCCACAGCGCUGGCCCUAAAAGCAUAACAGCACCGAGGCAGACGCACGCGAGAGGUCGAUCUUUCAUAUUGGCUGCCUCGUUGUUUGUUGUUGUUGAUCUCACCCGCUCCUUUAUCUUUCCUUAUCGCUCUCUGCUCCCAUGAGCGCGUCACCUUCCUCCUCGUCCACGGCCGCCGCCUCCGCCAGCCCGCAGGGCACCGUCGAAGUCCUUCUCUGUGACGGCUGUCGUUGCCCUAUUGGUUCGCUGUGGGAUGUGCUGCCGGCGGAGGAGGCGGUUCCUGUGUGGAGGGAGCAGGUGUACAGCUACGAGCUGGACCUUUUCGCCAAUGGAUCGCCGCCGAUACAGGCGUACAGCGCCACGAACCCGAGCGCGCGGCGGUUUGAUCUACUGCGCUUGGCUCCGCAUGUGACACUGCGUCUGGCCUCAACGCCUAGUGGCGAAGCUCCACCACCCGGUGCAGAUGCUUUUCGCUCGUGUAACGCCGAUACUUCGACCACCGCCGCCUCGGUCCUCGAUGCACAAAAGUGUGAAGGACCAGUGCAGGUCGAGGAGGUCUCCACAACGCAUGCGCAACCGGCGGAUGCGACAGGGACGCGCGGUGCCGCCUCCACCACGCUUCACGCGCCGUCUUUUGUGGAGUGCAACACGACCGUUUACUCCACUGAACACUCCUUCUUCGCCGGCUAUGCGUGGUGCUUCUGCAACUGCAGCAACUGCGGCGCCUUCCUGGGGUGGGGCUUUGCCGCGGUGGAUCGCCUGCGCGCCGCGCGACGCCUUCAUCGGGGCAGCAAGAGCGGCGGCGUGUCAGAGAACGGUGAUGUCGGCCGGGCACGCAAGAAGGGGGCGCGCCAGGAGGAAGAGGUGAGAAAAGCCGAGACGGACACUGCCACAGCCGCAGCUGCGGGCGACAGUCAACCUGCCGAAUCAAGUUCCCCGCCCGUAGCACCGAGUGCCCCCCGGGAUCAGCGCCAGCAACGGCCACGUGGAGAGGGCGAUGGCUGCAGAAGCGGCGCACGCGCUAGUGAUCUCGCGCCGCCAGAUGACUCCGACGACAGCAGUGAUGAAGGCACGUCUAUGACGACCACCACUGACAGCAACGACGGCGACGACAGCAGCGCCAUCGGCGGUGCUCGAGGUGGUGGGCAAGAGCACACAAACACCGGCGUAACACCCGACUUCAUUGGCAUCAUCAUUACCCAUUGCACCGGCGAUCCAGACUAUCCGAUAGCGUCCCUCAUGCGCGAUGUCGAGUGGCGUGCCGCGCGGCAACGACGCCGCAAGCGAGUUGAAGCCCUGACACGCCGCCUGUCCCUCCUCCUCCCACAGAUGAGGGACAGCUACCGCGCGCACGAAAUUUACCACGACUAUCACGCCAUGGAGCAGCUGCUUUACGCCGCACCGCUUCUCCCACUGCAGGAGGCAUCAGAUGGAUUCGCGACCGCGGUAACCGCACUCCUGUCCGAUGUGGACGAGGACGGGGUGCCGAUCUGCAUGCACGACACGGUGGAGGCAGCACGCAUCGCCGUAGCGAGGCAGAUGGACAGCGAAAACUGCAGUGGUGUAAGCGGGCACAGCAGCAGCGGGCACGAGGGAAACAAUCCCUCGUAGUCAUUGUCCACGACUACCAGCACCCGCUCUCUGCACGUGUGUGGAGCCGGUGAGUGAGUGUGUGUGUGUGUGUGUGUGUGUGUUUCUCUGUCGGCUCUCGCUGCCUUUGCAUACGUGAGGCACAUACGCACCGAACGACCCCAUGAGAGGGAAGAGGAGGACGGCUCUGAAGAGCACAUUCUCGGCACUUCAUCCAUAUGUCCUCUCUCCCAUUCAAUGGGGAGUUCUUCUGCGCACUUCGCGUGGGCCCCCAUCGCAGCAUCACCGAGACUACAAGAGGGGCGCAUCAGCGAAGAAACCCUUCGCUUUCUGUCCACCUCUCGCCUCUCAUUUCACCGUCAGCUCCUCCCUCUCCUGCACAAAGGGAGCACACGCACAUACAUGGAUGCGCGCGCGCUAUCAUGCCUGCUACCGUACACCCACCGUCACAGAUUCCAGCCACGCUGGAGAGGUGGACGAUGGAGAAGAGGAGAAGGAGAGGCGGGAUGUCAUUCUACGUGAAGUCAGCAAGGAAACGCGCGCGCUCUUUGCCUCGCCAGCAAGGAUCGUCCUUGUCCGACUCCCUCUCCCGUCACUGCGGUGUGCGCGUGCCGUGCUGCCUCCUCGGGUUGGCGGAGAAGCGGGGGGUGGAGUACGUGUGUGAGGCGCGAAAGGGCACUCAAGCAAAUGCGAGAGCGGCCGUCGUCGUGGCGGUGGCGGUGCUGGAACGAACAAGCGGUAGCGGCACGGCCCCACGCAUGUUUGUGUGCGGACGUCGCUGUAUGCUAAGAUCGAGGACGUGCACAGGACGCCAGAUGAAGAAAGCGCAUGGAAUGGGGCAGACUUCGAAGCAUAUACGUGUAAAGAGGUGAUGUGAACGAAGACGGGGCAGUGCUUCUGCCGGCGUUGAUCCGGCAGAUCCUUCUUCAUACCGCCCUCCCUUCGAGCUUUCCGUGUGUUUGCCUUGCAUCCCGUACCCGAUCCCCCUCCCAAAGUCGGCGAUUUUGUUUCAAAACUCUUCGCGCUUGCUCAGUAUGCGGACAUGUGUGCAAGACUGCUUUCUCUCUUUAGUGGUAGUGGUAGUGGGGGGGGGAGGGAAGAGGCUGAGGAGGGGGGUGUACGCGCCGCCGUGCUUCCCCCACACACGCAUACAGAGAGACCUUGCUCUCUCUCUAUCCGUGCCUCCAUCAAUGCGCGUGUGUCUGUCUCACCAACUGCACAGCAACACCUCACUGGAGAGGGAGGAUAGAGCAGCGCAGGCACACACCGAUGGAAAAGAAGCCAGCUCGUGCGUUCUCUCUGUCUCGCUCGCUUCGUUUGCUGUGUUCGUUGUAUUGCGCGUGCCUGCACUCAGGCAUGCAUGUAUUCUCUGCGUGUGUGGAGGACGGGGGAAGGUCAGACAUGCGCCUCGCCCACUUUUGAAGUGCUGUGUAGUGAUGAAUGCUGAUGCAUGGCACACCCUGCACGAAAUACGCACAAGGAGCGGCACGACCGACACACGAGGUCCGCGAUGGAGGGGUAAACGUGAAGGAGAUGGACGUUUGUGGCGACAAGCACAAAAAAAAAACACGCAUGCACACACUUGC
rnacentral:misc_RNA from 1 species